GUCUAAUACCGGAUAGGACAGCUGUUUAUGUCAGUUGUGGAAAGUUUUUUCGGUGCAAGAUGAGCUCGCGGCCUAUCAGCUUGUUGGUGGGGUAAUGGCCUACCAAGGCGUCGACGGGUAGCCGGCCUGAGAGGGUGUACGGCCACAUUGGGACUGAGAUACGGCCCAGACUCCUACGGGAGGCAGCAGUGGGGAAUAUUGCACAAUGGGCGGAAGCCUGAUGCAGCGACGCCGCGUGGGGGAUGAAGGCCUUCGGGUUGUAAACUCCUUUCGACAGGGACGAAGCGUAAGUGACGGUACCUGUAUAAGAAGCACCGGCUAACUACGUGCCAGCAGCCGCGGUAAUACGUAGGGUGCGAGCGUUGUCCGGAAUUACUGGGCGUAAAGAGCUCGUAGGUGGUUUGUCGCGUCGUCUGUGAAAUUCCGGGGCUUAACUCCGGGCGUGCAGGCGAUACGGGCUGACUUGAGUGCUGUAGGGGAGACUGGAAUUCCUGGUGUAGCGGUGAAAUGCGCAGAUAUCAGGAGGAACACCGAUGGCGAAGGCAGGUCUCUGGGCAGUAACUGACGCUGAGGAGCGAAAGCAUGGGUAGCGAACAGGAUUAGAUACCCUGGUAGUCCAUGCCGUAAACGGUCGGCGCUAGUGUAGGGGGCUUCCACGUCUUCUGUGCCGUAGCUAACGCAUUAAGCGCCCCG
rnacentral:rRNA from 1 species